rnacentral:rRNA from 1 species
AACGAACGCUGGCGGCAUGCCUAACACAUGCAAGUCGAACGAGACCUUCGGGUCUAGUGGCGCACGGGUGCGUAACGCGUGGGAACCUGCCCUUAGGCUCGGAAUAACUCCCCGACAGGGGUGCUAAUACCGGAUAAUGUCUUCGGACCAAAGAUUUAUCGCCUUUGGAUGGGCCCGCGUUGGAUUAGCUUGUUGGUAGGGUAAAAGCCUACCAAGGCGACGAUCCAUAGCUGGGCUGAGAGGAUGAUCAGCCACACUGGGACUGAGACACGGCCCAGACUCCUACGGGAGGCAGCAGUGGGGAAUAUUGGACAAUGGGCUAAAGCCUGAUCCAGCAAUGCCGCGAGAGUGAUGAAGGCCUGAGGGUAGUAAAGCUCUUUUACCCGGGAUGAUAAUGACAGUACCGGGAGAAUAAGCACCGGCUAACUCCGUG